rnacentral:rRNA from 1 species
UACGGGGGGGGCAAGCGUUGUUCGGAAUUACUGGGCGUAAAGGGCUCGUAGGCGGCCAACUAAGUCAGACGUGAAAUCCCUCGGCUUAACCGGGGAACUGCGUCUGAUACUGGAUGGCUUGAAUCCGGGAGAGGGAUGCGGAAUUCCAGGUGUAGCGGUGAAAUGCGCAGAUAUCGGGAGGAAUACCAGUGGCGAAGGCGGCUGCCUGGCCUGUUCUUGACGCUGAGGCGCGAAAGCUGGGGGAGCAAACGGG